rnacentral:sRNA from 1 species
AUUCUGCCCAUGCGGGGAAGGAUGAGAAGCUUCGACCAAGGUUCGACUUGAGCGCCAGCGAGAGAGCGUUGCCGCAGGCAACGACCCGAAGGGCGAAGCGCGCAGCGCUGAGUAAUCCUUCCCCCACCCCCA